rnacentral:rRNA from 1 species
CAUUUCGAAAGGAAUGCUAAUACCGAAUGACGUGCAUUGGUCGCAUGACCGAUGUACCAAAGGCCGGGCAACCGGUCACUGAAGGAUGGGCCUGCGUCUGAGUUAGCUAGUUGGUGGGGUAACGGCCCACCAAGGCGACGAUCAGUAGCCGGUCUGAGAGGAUGAACGGCCACAUUGGGACUGAGACACGGCCCAAACUCCUACGGGAGGCAGCAGUGGGGAAUCCUCCGCAAGUGGGCGCAAGCCGUGACGGAGCAACGCCGCGGUGAGUGGAAAACGAAGGUUUUCGGAUCGUAAAGCUCUGUUGUCAGGGACGAGAGACUUGAUCAGGAAAUGGGUCAAGGAGGACGGUACCUGACGAGAAAGCCACGGCUAACUACGUGCCAGCCGCUGC